CGUGUGGGAAGGCGUGGGGUGCGGACCCCGGCCCGACCUCGCCGUCCCGCCCGCCG
ensembl:miRNA